UCCGUAGGUGAACCUGCGGAAGGAUCAUUACUGAUUUGCUUAAUUGCACCACAUGUGUUUUUCUUUGAAACAAACUUGCUUUGGCGGUGGGCCCAGCCUGCCGCCAGAGGUCUAAACUUACAACCAAUUUUUUAUUAACUUGUCACACCAGAUUAUUACUAAAUAGUCAAAACUUUCAACAACGGAUCUCUUGGUUCUCGCAUCGAUGAAGAACGCAGCGAAAUGCGAUACGUAAUAUGAAUUGCAGAUAUUCGUGAAUCAUCGAAUCUUUGAACGCACAUUGCGCCCUCUGGUAUUCCGGAGGGCAUGCCUGUUUGAGCGUCGUUUCUCCCUCAAACCGCUGGGUUUGGUGUUGAGCAAUACGACUUGGGUUUGCUUGAAAGACGGUAGUGGUAAGGCGGGAUCGCUUUGACAAUGGCUUAGGUCUAACCAAAAACAUUGCUUGCGGCGGUAACGUCUACCACGUAUAUCUUCAAACUUUGACCUCAAAUCAGGUAGGACUACCCGCUGAACUUAAGCAUAUCAAUAAGCGGAGGAAAAGA
rnacentral:sRNA from 1 species